CCUACGGGUGGCAGCAGUGGGGAAUAUUGCACAAUGGGGGAAACCCUGAUGCAGCGACGCCGCGUGAGUGAAGAAGCGUUUCGGCGCGUAAAGCUCUGUCAGCGGGGAAGAAACACGGUUCGCGAGAGCCGCGGACGGUACCCGACCAAGAAGCCCCGGCUAACUACGUGCCAGCAGCCGCGGUAAUACGUAGGGGGCAAGCGUUAUCCGGAUUUACUGGGUGUAAAGGGAGCGUAGACGGCAGCACAAGUCUGGAGUGAAAUGCCGGGGCUUAACCCCGGAACUGCUUUGGAAACUGUGCAGCUAGAGUGCAGGAGAGGUAAGUGGAAUUCCUAGUGUAGCGGUGAAAUGCGUAGAUAUUAGGAGGAACACCAGUGGCGAAGGCGGCUUACUGGACUGUAACUGACGUUGAGGCUCGAAAGCGUGGGGAGCAAACAGGAUUAGAUACCCGGGUAGUC
rnacentral:rRNA from 1 species